GAGUUUGAUCGUGGCUCAGAUUGAACGCUGGCGGCAUGCCUUACACAUGCAAGUCGAACGGCAGCAUGAUCUAGCUUGCUAGAUUGAUGGCGAGUGGCGAACGGGUGAGUAAUACAUCGGAACGUGCCCUGUAGUGGGGGAUAACUAGUCGAAAGAUUAGCUAAUACCGCAUACGACCUGAGGGUGAAAGUGGGGGACCGCAAGGCCUCAUGCUAUAGGAGCGGCCGAUGUCUGAUUAGCUAGUUGGUGGGGUAAAGGCCCACCAAGGCGACGAUCAGUAGCUGGUCUGAGAGGACGAUCAGCCACACUGGGACUGAGACACGGCCCAGACUCCUACGGGAGGCAGCAGUGGGGAAUUUUGGACAAUGGGCGAAAGCCUGGUCCAGCAAUGCCGCGUGUGUGAAGAAGGCCUCGGUUGUAAGU
rnacentral:rRNA from 1 species